ACAUGGUUGCACCUUUCACAGGUCUUAAGUCUGCUGCCUCAUUCCCUGUUUCAAGAAAGCAAAACCUUGACAUCACUUCCAUUGCCAGCAACGGCGGAAGAGUGCAAUGCAUGCAGGUAAACUGACAAUUUUGAUACAAUUAACGUAUCUUAACAUGUCAUGGCUAAAAUUUCUAUUUGGUGGAGUACAGGUGUGGCCACCAAUUAACAUGAAGAAGUAUGAGACUCUCUCAUACCUUCCCGAUUUGAGCCAGGAGCAAUUGCUCUCCGAAAUUGAGUACCUUUUGAAAAAUGGAUGGGUUCCUUGCUUGGAAUUCGAGACUGAGGUCAAUAUCUGUUUUAAAUGUUGCACGCUCCCUCUAUUUUAUGCCAUAUCUAUUUGUUCCAAAAAAAUUGAACUUUAAACUUUAAUGUGUUAUUUCGUAUGUGCAGAAAGGAUUUGUCUACCGUGAACACCACAAGUCACCAGGAUACUAUGAUGGCAGGUUAGUAGCAGAUCCACAAUUAUUUAGUUAAAUUAUGGAUAUAUGCGUGUAAAUCUUGAAAAAUAAUCAGAACAAAAUCUUAAAAUAUAAAUGUUGUGAUACAGAUACUGGACCAUGUGGAAGCUAC
rnacentral:lncRNA from 1 species